UCUCCGUUGGUGAACCAGCGGAGGGAUCAUUACCGAAGUUACCUUCAAAACCCACUGUGAACCUUACCUCUUGCCGCGUUGUCUCGGCGGGAGGCGGUGUGCGUCGCGCGCCCUAGCGGGCCGCGCCGCUCCCGUCCCCGCCGGCAGCGCCAAACUCUAAAUGUACAGCGGACUGUACGUUCUGAUUUACAAAAAAAACAAGUUAAAACUUUCAACAACGGAUCUCUUGGUUCUG
rnacentral:misc_RNA from 1 species